AACAUACCUAAACGUUGCUUCGGCGGGAACAGACGGCCCCGUGAAACGGGCCGCCCCCGCCAGAGGACCCCUAACUCUGUUUCUAUAAUGUUUCUUCUGAGUAAAACAAGCAAAUAAAUUAAAACUUUCAACAACGGAUCUCUUGGCUCUGGCAUCGAUGAAGAACGCAGCGAAAUGCGAUAAGUAAUGUGAAUUGCAGAAUUCAGUGAAUCAUCGAAUCUUUGAACGCACAUUGCGCCCGCCAGUAUUCUGGCGGGCAUGCCUGUUCGAGCGUCAUUACAACCCUCAGGCCCCCGGGCCUGGCGUUGGGGAUCGGCGGAGCCCCCCGUGGGCACACGCCGUCCCCCAAAUACAGUGGCGGUCCCGCCGCAGCUUCCAUCGCGUAGUAGCUAACACCUCGCGACUGGAGAGCGGCGCGGCCACGCCGUAAAACACCCAACUCUCUGAA
rnacentral:misc_RNA from 1 species